rnacentral:lncRNA from 1 species
UUAUAAUGGUAUAAGAUGAUGAACUAAUGAGAAUUGAGUUUACUAGUUUUGAAUGGAGCAUAUUAAUAGCAACACCUCUUUGGUUCAUUGUUACUUGACACUAUCAUUGUAAAUUGUCUAUGCAUAUUCACCCCAUUCUGCAGCUCAAAUUCCUUGGCACACAACAAAGUGAUUCAAAGUUACUCACAACCACCUUAUAAAGUGAAUUCUCUUCAAUUCACAUGUAAUAUGAUUUAUAAACAACGACCAGCUUGGUCAUAUGUACAAAAAUUAAACUAUCAAACCAAGU